rnacentral:tRNA from 1 species
GUGUUAGUAGUAUAAAUUUAUUAUUUUGUUUUUCCACAACAAAGAUCUAAGAGAUUAGUUGACACA